AGCAGCCGCGGGAACACCGGCGGCCCGAGUGGUGAUCGUGAUUAUUGGGUCUAAAGGGUCCGUAGCCGGUUGGUCAGUCCUCCGGGAAAUCUGAUAGCUCGACUAUUAGGCUUUCGGGGGAUACUGCCAGACUUGGAACCGGGAGAGGUAAGAGGUACUACAGGGGUAGGAGUGAAAUCUUGUAAUCCCUGUGGGACCACCUGUGGCGAAGGCGUCUUACCAGAACGGGUUCGACGGUGAGGGACGAAAGCUGGGGGCACGAACCGGAUUAGAUACCCGGGUAGUCCCAGCCGUAAACGAUGCUCGCUAGGUGUCAGGCAUGGCGCGACCGUGUCUGGUGCCGCAGGGAAGCCGUGAAGCGAGCCACCUGGGAAGUACGGCCGCAAGGCUGAAACUUAAAGGAAUUGGCGGGGGAGCACAACAACGGGUGGAAGCCUGCGGUUUAAUUGGACUCAACGCCGGACAACUCACCGGGGGCGACAGCAAUAUGUAGGCCAAGCUGAAGACUUUGCCUGAAUCGCUGAGGGGUGGUGCAUGG
rnacentral:rRNA from 1 species